rnacentral:rRNA from 1 species
CCUANGGGUGGCUGCAGUCGAGAAUCUUCCGCAAUGGGCGAAAGCCUGACGGAGCAAUGCCGCGUGAGGGAUGAAGGCCUUCGGGUUGUAAACCUCUGUCAGAGGGGACGAAGAAUGUGACGGUACCCUCAGAGGAAGCCACGGCUAACUACGUGCCAGCAGCCGCGGUAAUACGUAGGUGGCGAGCGUUAUUCGGAUUUACUGGGCGUAAAGGGUCCGUAGGGGGUCUGCCAAGUCUGAUGUGAAAUCCCGCGGCUCAACUGCGGAACGGCAUUGGAUACUGGCGGGCUGGAGUCUGCGAGGGGUGAGCGGAAUUCCUGGUGUAGCGGUGGAAUGCGUAGAUAUCAGGAAGAACACCGAUGGCGAAGGCGGCUCACUGGCGCAGUACUGACCCUGAAGGACGAAAGCGUGGGGAGCAAACAGGAUUAGAUACCCCGNUANUC